GCGAGUCGAGAGCAUCGUCGCUUUAAACGCAAAGCAGAGGUGGUUUCAAUAUUUUCAGAAAUUACAAAAUAAAUCAGCAUACCACUAGUGAAAGUGUGUGGGGGAAGCGAUUGAAAGUUUUUGUUUUCAGCAGGACCUUUGGUGUUUACAUAUUCAAGGCUGGCAGCGACUUUCAUGUAGCAACACGGCUUUGAUUACCAUUUGUUAUCCCUCGCACACUUACUAAAGUGUGUUGAUCCUUCGGCAGCCGGGAUGUAAGCUUUUUCGUUUUCUGGUUUUUGUUUCUGCUCCGCUUUGGGUAUCCACCGUGUACCACUUGUGAUGCUGCUGUCUUCUUUAUGACUUUGUUUCUGGCUCUUAAUUAACAAACAAAGCUCCUGGCCGGCCUGCGUGUGUGUCUGGUUAUCCCGCUCGUGUUUAGCCCGGAGACAGGCGCUUACACAUGCACGGGGCGCAGCUGUCUUGGCAAAAGUUGCCCGCCGAAGGUAACCUGAAGCAAAUGAAUUUACAAUGUGCAUCUGGAUUCCGUUGAAUAAAACGCCCGAAACGAAUAA